rnacentral:lncRNA from 1 species
CAUCAUCAUCAGAACCACCAAACUUCCACCAAACAAGUCUCAUCAAAACUAUAAUAAAAAGUUCAGAGGGAUUUUCAGACAUACGAAACACACGAUGGAGAUCUUGGCCUUGUUGUUCUUGUUCAAGAGAGUAAGAGGAAAAAAACAAAACAAGCAUCUCCUAAAAGGAUGAUGGAUCCAUGAUGGUGGGAAUUUGAUGUGUACUUCUUUUGGGGAAAAGAAAAGGUUACAUCGAUAGGUAUUAUUGUCUGAAUCUGAAUCCCAUCUCAUCUCUUCUUCUGGGGAAUGAAAGCAUUACGGUCCGAUCUUCAUCUCUCUUAAUUGUAAAAUCUUUGUUUUUGUUUCUUUGCAAGAUUGAUAAAUAUAUCGUCUGAUUGAUAAUUUCGAUCUGCAUGACUAUAUGAAUUGGUUAUGUUUGUUUUGAUAGUUAAUAUCUGUUAUUUUCAUUUUUGUAUAACAAAUAAUGUUAUGUUUGCGAAUGAAUUAAGUUUCCAUUUUCUUACUUCAUUGAUUUCAGCGUGGACUAUAUGUUGUUU